AGUGAGCUGUAGCUCACGAAAGCUUACGCUCAAAUAAAUUGGUUAGUCUCUAAGGUGCCACAAGUACUCCUUUUCUUUUUGUGAAUACAGACUAACACGGCUGUUACUCUGAAACCUAUGGCUAUGCAGAAUAAGUAAGUCCAGAGCUGACUGCAAAUAAUUAAAAAGAGAGUUCACUAAACUGGGUGACUGGGCAACAAAAUGGCAGAAGAAAUUCAAUGUUGACAAAUGCAAAGUAAUGCGCAUUGUAGAUUUAUGGUUAUAUUCACAGUACAAAAUGGUGGGGUCUAAUUUGCUCUUACCACUCAAGAAAGACCUUGAAGUCAUCGUGUAUGAGUCUCUAAAUACAUCUGCUCAAUGUCCAGUGGCAGUCAAAAACAGAACAUUAGGAAAGGGAUAGAUAAUGAAACAAAAUAUUUUAACACCACUAUAUAAAUCCAUAGUUCACCCACAGCUUAUAUAUUUGAUGAAGUUCUAGUCACCCCCAUCUCAAAAAAGAUACAUGAGAAUUAGAGUACAGAGAAGAAUAGGGGUGUGCACAGGAAUAAAAGUUUGGCCGCUUUUGGAAGGGCACUUUCUAUGUCUUCCCUCCCCCGCAGCUGGAGAGCUGGCUCUCCCCCCGGGACCGGUGGAGCUCUCUUAGCCCCAUAAGAGUUUUGUGCCCCUGCUGAUUGGGGGGCCUAUACCCCUGCUUCCCCUCCCUUGUUCAUGUUGCUGGGCAACAAAAAUCAUUAGGGGUAUAGAACAGCUUCCGUAUGAGGAGAGACUAAAAAGAUUAGGACUGUUCAUCUUCAAAAAGAGAUUACUAAGGGGGAAUAUAAUAGAGGUCUAUAAAAUUAUGAAUGGUAUGCAGGAAGUAAAUAGGGAAGUGUUAUUUACUCCUUCACAUAACAGAAGAGCCAGGGGUCACCCAAUGAAAUUAACAAGCAAUCGGUUUAAAACAAACAUAAGGAAAUAUUUCUCCACACAAUGCACAGUCAACCUGUGAAACUCAUUGCCAGAGGAUGUUUUGAAGGCCAGAAGUAUAACUGGAUUAAAACAAUAGGUAAGUUCAUGUCAGAUAGGUACAUCAAUGGCUAUUAGGCAAGAUUGUCAGGACACAACAACCCCAUGCUCUGAGUGUCUAUAGACCUCUGACUGCCAAAAGUUGUGACUAAAUGAUUGGACGUAUCAUUCAAUAAAUUGCCCUGUUCUGUUCAUUCCCUUUGAAGCAUCAGGCACAGGCCUUGUUGGAAGACAGGACGCUGAGGUACAUGGACCAUUGGUCUGACCCAGUAUAACCAUUUUUAUGUUUUCAGAAAAGGGUGGGUGCAAUUCUCCAUGCAAGGGCAAAGCAUUGUUAUUACAGAUGCAGGAAACUGAGGCACAGCUGGGUUCUCCUCUAUAUUUACUGCAAGGUACUUGGCACACAGCGGAGCCAAAAAUAAUAUUAAAAACAGAUUCUUCCAGACCCAAGGAACUCACAUGGCAUCCAAAAGGAUCUGCACCAUCUCCAGAUCCGGCACAUCAAAAUGCAACAAUGGGUGGAGGAGGAGGGAAAAAACAGGCUCUAGAAAGAGUUUGGCUGGAUCAAUAAUGGCAGAGUUCCCUCAUCUCCCAUUGUCUACAUGGGCAAUUCUGGGUGACCAGCAACUGAGAAAAUCGGGCUACUUAGGACGCUUAACUUUAGACAACCAUGCUUUAAAAUGUUGUCAUUGCUAUAUGUAAAGUAGCAGAAUGGGAUAAAUAUUACUGAAGAUAAUGAAGUAAACUCAUAAGCUACCAAAUUUUAAAAAUGCAUUUAUUAUUUAAAUGAUCUCCUGAUCUGAAAAAAUUGUGAAGAAACAAAAUGGUUUUUCCUGAGAGAAAGAAAAGAGGUAUCAAUAUAAAGCUGACACAGUUAAUUUUCCAGUAACCAAUUUAGAUCAAGAAUAUUUGUCAUAAUAGAUCUACACACUGAAGGUAUAAAGCCUAAACUGGCAUAUAAAUAUGAAUCAAAUGAAUCACCUAAAUUUCUGCAUCAAUAAAAAACAUAUUUUCAAGACAGGCUGAGAUAUAUGAGCAGAGUCAAUGCUCCUUACACCCCUCAGAGGAAGAAAAAAAUAUGUUUAUAUUAAUUUUUACUUGAAAUAAUCUCUGUUUGGUAGGGACUGUGACGCUGGCAGACCAGGUACCAGCUCAUGCCAAGGCCUCACUGAACUUACAAUGGUAUAGCUGGAAACCAGUCUUGUUUACUUGUGUUAGCAUCCUCAGAUGCUGUUUAGACUUUAUAAAAUGCUUGUGGGAUGCUGCAUGCAUUAAUCUAAUUUAUAAUCUCUGUAACCCAGGGUAUACAUUUAUAUAGAGUAUAUCAGCACACAGCUGUGGCCCAUUGUAAACCUCUAACUGUAUAACUCAACAAAACAGGAAAACCGCAUUGAUUAAGGUAAAGUACUCCUCCUGCAUACAAGAAUCGCCAGUUGAAAGCAAUUGAAAUAUUGCAUAGCAAAGGACAGAGACUUUGUUGAUUCCAUUCCUAACUCAUGUCUCUUUUCAGUCCAUGAUUUUUACUGUCUAGCAAAGUUAUGAAUUUAAGCUCCCAGGCUCAUCUUUUGAGUGUCUUGUGUAGGUUUCCUUUGAGGUGAGGACUGAUAGGUAAGAUAUAGAGUGAUCGUUUUGUGAAGUGUUCACCUACAGGUGAUGUGGUGUUUUUGUCUUUUAUCAUUUUCGUGUUUGACUUAAUUCAAGAGUGUAGUGAUUGUCUCAUUUCACCCACAUCAGUGGUUCUCAACCCGUGGCCCAAUCAGCACACAACUGCAGCCCAUGUGACAUCCUCAGGGCCAUACAGGUAGCAUAUACAUUGUGCGGAUGGGGCCCACAUAACACAGAGAACUGCAUAUGUGGCCCACAACGGUGAAUAGGUUGAGACCCACUGACCUACAUAGUUCUACUAGGGCAUUUAGUGCAAUGGAUGAGGUUGUGACAGGCAUAUGUAGGACCCAUAGAUCUUGAAGGGUGUAUUGUGGAGGGUGUUGACCAUGGUAGCAGUGGAGAUAUGUCUGCAUGGUUUGAAUCUGUUACUCUGGUAGGAUCUGGAGCUUUUGAGUUGGUGUAUUCUGAUUUGUUCGGAGCUUGUUUCUGAUGAGCUUGGAGAGAUUGGGGGUUGUUUGAAGGCCAGAAGAGGGGGUUCAGGAAAUAUUUCUUUGAUGAUACCCCAAAAUGGGUUCCAGUGGGGGGUGGUAGGUGAUAACUAGAGGUGUGUGGUCAGAGGGGUUUUUAUUUAUUGAAGCAGGUUCUCUCGGGAUAUAUGGGUGGCAACACUGCAUAUUUUCUAAAAGUGAAAUACUGAAAUUUUCAUAUUGUUGGUAUGCAAAACCCUAUUCAAUUUUUUAUAAAAAUGACAGUGCAAAGUG